GCCCGGGUAGCUCAGUCGGUAGAGCGCACCCAUGGUAAGGGUGAGGUCGGCGGUUCAAUCCCGCCCUCGGGCU
rnacentral:tRNA from 1 species